rnacentral:rRNA from 1 species
GGUGCUCGAGUGGCGAACGGGUGAGUAACACGUGAGUAACCUGCCCUUGACUUUGGGAUAACUUCAGGAAACUGGGGCUAAUACCGGAUAGGAGCUCCUGCUGCAUGGUGGGGGUUGGAAAGUUUCGGCGGUUGGGGAUGGACUCGCGGCUUAUCAGCUUGUUGGUGGGGUAGUGGCUUACCAAGGCUUUGACGGGUAGCCGGCCUGAGAGGGUGACCGGCCACAUUGGGCUGAGAUACGGCCCAG